GUUCUUUGGAUACUGGUCGCACGUGCACGAUGUGCAAGAUUCUUUAACCAAAACGUAUCCAAUUUCUGAAGCCCUGGUAAUAUCUAGAUAACCUUGGAUACCGACUUUACGCACGCACACGCAGUGUUCACUUUUGCAGCCGCGGAAAAUUUUUGGUUGCGUUACGGUUCGAUGGCUAGUUUGAUGUGUUUGAUUACUGCGACACAGUCAGCUGUGACUUUCCUAUUACUGAUGCAAGCUGAAUGUUUCCCACACGACGCCGAUGUAUGGUGCCCAGUGAUGCACAGCGGACGCAAGUGCACAUUUUUCGGACACAUGAUACCCGGUGGACAGAGCCGUGCCUUGAAAAAGCCGUGUGUCCUAGUUUCUUGUACAGAGGAUGCGGCGGCACUUAUUGUGUCAGGGUGCUCAACCCGGGGUAGACCAAGCGAAACAAGACCUAGAGGAUGUGGUGGUGUUGCAGAUGCUUGGCCAAGAUGUUGUGACAAUUGCCGCCGGCUUAGGACUAAAGGAAAGCUGGGAAAAGACAAAGCAGAAUAAUGUGCCGUUGCGUUUAUACAUUGCGGCGUUAUCGAUCCUCUUUUGCAAAAAUAAAGCCUCUGCAUCAUGACCCUGAACUAACUCGCAACAAAU